GUCGCCGUCACUAUAUCUCUGAUGGCUUUGGGGUUCCCAGCGUGUGUGCACAGACAUCAGACAGCAGGGUGAGCCUAAUGGCCGGUCCCCCAUCUCCGUGCAGGCCGUGCCCCAGGGUCAUCCACCGCCAUCACUGUCUCCUGUAUUUCAAGGGUUAAAUUGGGGAGAAAUCUGCUAAGUUGCCCAUUCUUCCUCCUGCGCUUCCUCCAGGUGAGGGCUUCGCAGACCGUCAUUGGGGCGCACGAGGAGAGGUCUGCGCCGCCGGGAGCCCCUGUCAGGCUGCCUCUGCCUUGCUGGUAGCCUGAACGACCGUGCCUUGGGAGAGCUGCGCCAAGGGUGACAGGUGACAGGAUUGAAGUACCUUAAAAACAUGUUCUCUGUGCAUCCCCAAGGGAGGGUCUCAGAGCAGUGAGCUUCUAGCAGACAUCCUACCAAAUGGGGAGGGUGACCCCAGGACACACCAGAAUGUUCUAGGCCCCCUGAGCCAAUUCAUCCAAGGAGGGAAUGAGCCAGCCCCCUUGUGCCCUCUAGCCCAGGGAAGGGGGCUCCGGGUGGGUGGCCUGCCCCUGACACCGCCAUCCAGCAAGUCCACCAGAACCUGGCAUGGGAGGUGCUGGCACAGAGGGGGAGAGACCAGAAUAACUGGUUCCUCCCAAGGCCAAGCAGGACGUUGCUUUGAGAUGAAUUCUUGGCUGUUUGUCACCAUGUGCAGCUGUUAGGGAUCCGUUCCUGCUGUUCUGAACUGAGGGUGCCUGGUUUCUAACGUUCCUCCUCGAGCUGGACUGUGGAGUGGCUCACCUGUCUGCAGGAACCCGAUUGCUGUUUGGGGGAAGGUCAUUGCCACAAGUUCUGACACUAGCGUGAGUCCCCACCUGUCCGCAAAGUGUCCCUCUAGGUGCCUGUGUCCCAGAGGACCCCAGGUUUCUCGAGAAGCAGUCUGCACUAGUGACGGUUUGGGGGAAAGCAGGCCCUUCUGACGGGCCGGCAAGUGGCUGCAAGGUGUGAUGACAGGAAACCCCCAGAGAUCAGCCGGUCUCGGGGACAGGCAGGAAUCCCAGAGGCAGCCUGACACCUCCCCUCUCUGGGCCACAGUGUUUGCUCCCCCAGACGAGAGACUGCCCGGCGACAGUCCCGUUCUACUUGCCUUAAACUGGAGAGAGGAAUCUAGUAUUUGCACUUAGCAAAAGAUUUUAAAACUUUAAAAAAAAAUGUGCAUGACCUGUCACUUUGUAUAAAAAUAGCAAAAAUGAUUAGUUUAUUAAAUUCUUUUCUUUACCUUCCGGUAGUAAAAACACAUAAAAAGAAUUCUGUUUAAACUACUGUGUGUAAAAAGCUUGUACCAUAUGUAACUUCGACUUUUUGUAAAUAAAUGUUUGUGCAU
rnacentral:lncRNA from 1 species